UGGGGAUGGAGGUCGACAUAUAUAGGAGUCUCCUUAACAACAAGUAGUAAUGCUAUUCCUUUACCCUACUUAGACGCACAACAAAUCUGUGUAUUAUACACAUACCUGAGAUAUAAUGCUAGAUAUCUUUUUAUGGUUCUCAUAUUAUAUAAAAAAAAUUUGAGCAUGAAUUUGAAACUUUUUAUAAUUUCUAGAAAGAGAGACAAUGCAAUUGUGUUUUAUUGUUAGAGAAAAAGAUGUGUCAACUUGGGUUUGACUGAUUAAUGGGAUUUCACUCGAUUAGACCAAAUUGAUUUGAUGUUUUUCUAUUUGAAGUUGAGGAGUUAGAUUGGUGGGAAGCAAUGCAGAGGCACGUCAUCUUCUAACUGGGUCGUGGUCUUCUUUCUUCUCUUAUGAGUUUUUCUAGUUGAAGGAGUCAUCUGCUUCUUCUGGGAUUUUUGGGUCCAUAUUUGCGCCUUCUUCCGGCGUCGUUUAUUGGUAAGUUGUAAAACCUGUGUAGACCACCUCAUGUUCAUUUCAGAUUUUUGUAUCAAUCUUGUUUUAUAAUGGAAUUGCAAAUCAAGUAUAUUUUAGAUUCUUACUUACAUACUCACUUUUCCACAACUAUUAUAUUGUCUCUUGACUGGAUGAAUUUUCAUAAUUUCCUGGAUUUACAGUUACAAUGCUUUUUAUAAUUUCCUAAAUCUAUCCUUUUUGUCUGUGCAUGAUUAUGUUGAUUUUUUUUUUAAGGUUAAAUGUGUCUUAUUCAUGUAGUUAAGGUUGGUGCAUUCAAGUUCCGCAGCAACGCGCGGACAUUUUUUCUAGUAUUAGCUGUGCAGAUUGGAUGAAACUCUGUAAGUUGACUAUAUAUUAGUAUGCAUUCAAAUUCUGGAUGUCAAAAUAUAAUUGUCUCCAGUAAUAGUAAAUUUCGUUAUCGUUAUGGUGUAUAGAUCAAGUGGAUUAAUUAUAGCUACGUGGGGUGCUUCAGGGUGUAAGGCAUGUGGAUAACUUUUCAGUGGUCGAAUGGUGUUCUUCAAAAUGUUUUGAUUAAUUUUCUUGAAGUUCAGUUGCUAGCUAGUUUUUUUUUUAUUUUUUUUAUUUUUUUUAUUUUUAAAGGGAUGAUAGUGUUCUCAUUCCCUUAAUCUUAUUAAAAUAAAAACAAAAAUACAAACAAGGGUGUGGAUGUAAAUUUCUGUCUUCUUCUUGGACGAAAAUACACCUGCAAAACAAUUAACACCUUAGGUUAAGGCCAAGAGCGUCACUUGACCAUGAUGAAUGGGGGGGCAUUUGGCCGAAGAAUUUCCGAUGCUAAAGUUAGAAUUUGAGGGAGAAAGUAUUUGGAGAAAUUUAGAGAAUUUCAGAAGAGGUGUGGUCGGCCCUAUUAGGAAAUUUGGGACCGGACACAUGGUUGAUUUGUGGGAUUGAUAACAAGAUAUUAUGUGAAAUAAUAUCUUGCAAUUAAUUUGGUAAUUAAUCAAUUAAUCUCAAUUUGAAAAGAAUAAUUGGGAGUUACUUUGUGGGUGAGGAUUUAAUGAGAAGUGAUGAGAGUGUAUUAAAAGAAUACCAUUUUGAUCACAUUUGAGCUCGAUUGAGUUGUUAUUGUCUGUUACAUAUGUGGGAAUCCUAGUGUGCCUUAAGGGUAAAUUUGUUUUUUUAACUCGAAAGUCCAUGAGUCACUUCCAUAUUUUUCUUGAUUAUUUUUUGUUCCACAAAGGGCAAUACAAAGGCAAACCUUCUUGAGGAAAAAAAAACGUAAAACAAAAAAUCAACCCCACAAACAAAGAAAACAUAUAAUGAAAAUCAUUUGAAACGAUGGUUGGUAGAAGCAGAAAGAUCAUGAAUAUAAGCAGAAAUUUCACAAGAAAGAACGUUCACCAUCAGUAAUAUGCAUCGUGAUUUACAUGGAAGUUAGCUAAGGCAUCAGGCACACAUGCAGUUGCUAGCUAGUACAGUAGUAGCUAUAUUACUCGACUUUUAUUUUAUGUUUUUAUUAAUUAUUAGGUGUACCAACAGUUAUAUGAAUUUGGAACAUUUGUCAACAUUAAGACAGAGUAUUUGGAGCUAAUGAAGAAUUUGGUGCAAAACCGAGUGCAGUGGUGUUCUAGGAUUUAUACAGUUAAUAAGACUUUGUUGUUGUUUGUUGUAAGAAAAAGAGUAUUAUUAAAUCAAGUGCUUGUUUAAUAGCAAAAAUAAUAGAGACUACUGAAAAAGCAAAAAGAGUAUAUGCACUUGCCACUGUCAUAUUCUUGUCGAGUUCAUGUGCGAUAUUAAUUUGUAAGUACAACGUUGGUUGUAAAGAUCUGACUUUUCUUAUAAAUAAUAAAUAAAAAGAAAAACUAAUGAAAAAAAGCUUGAAAAUUAUGAGUUUUAACGAUAAAGACCAAAUAAAGAGUAAAGUGAAUAGUAUCAGGAUUGACUUUUUAAUGUAAAAAUGUGGUUUUUCGUUAAAGUAAACAGUACCGGGAGUUUUUCACUAAAAAAGAAAAGAAGAAGAAAGGUACGAUCUCAUGUAAUUGGUACAGGGUGGGCAUGCAUGGACUUGUAAUACAAGUCAAGAAAAAUAUUAAAGGGGAUCCUAUCUCCUAUAAGUAGCAUGGUAACCGAUA
rnacentral:lncRNA from 1 species